GAGGAAUAUUGGUCAAUGGGCGCGAGCCUGAACCAGCCAAGUAGCGUGAAGGAUGACUGCCCUAUGGGUUGUAAACUUCUUUUAUAAGGGAAUAAAGUGAGGCACGUGUGCCUUAUUGUAUGUACCUUAGGAAUAAGCAUCGGCUAACUCCGUGCCAGCAGCCGCGGUAAUACGGAGGAUGCAAGCGUUAUCCGGAUUUAUUGGGUUUAAAGGGAGCGUAGGCGGACUAUUAAGUCAGCUGUGAAAGGUUACGGCUCAACCGUGAAAUUCAGGUGGAACUGGGCGGCUUGGGUGCCGGAAAGGUGGGCGGAAUUCGUGGUGUAGCGGUGAAAUGCUUAGAAAACACGAAGAACUCCAAUUGCGGAGGCAGCUCACUGGAGUGUAACUGACGGUGAUGCUCGAAAGUGUGGGUAUCAAACA
rnacentral:rRNA from 1 species